AAUGCGAUAAGUAAUGUGAAUUGCAGAAUUCAGUGAAUCAUCAAAUCUUUGAACGCACCUUGCGCUCCUUGGUAUUCCGAGGAGCAUGCCUGUUUGAGUGUCAU
rnacentral:rRNA from 1 species